GUGCAUCAAGAUCGGCUCAUCU
rnacentral:miRNA from 1 species